GAUGAACGCUGGCGGCGUGCCUAACACAUGCAAGUCGAACGGAGAUUACGGACGGAAGUUUUCGGAUGGAAGCCUGUAAUUCUUAGUGGCGGACGGGUGAGUAACGCGUGGGCAACCUGCCCUAUACAGGGGGAUAGCAGCUGGAAACGGCUGGUAAGACCGCAUAAGUCGGUUAAAUCGCAUGAUUUGAUCGGGAAAUGAGCAAUCAGGUAUAGGAUGGGCCCGCGUCCGAUUAGCCAGUUGGCAGGGUAAAAGCCUACCAAAGCGACGAUCGGUAGCCGGACUGAGAGGUCGGACGGCCACAUUGGGACUGAGACACGGCCCAAACUCCUACGGGAGGCAGCAGUGGGGGAUAUUGCACAAUGGAGGAAACUCUGAUGCAGCGACGCCGCGUGAGUGAAGAAGUAUUUCUGUAUGUAAAGCUCUAUCAGCAGGGAAGAUGAUGACGGUACCUGACUAAGAAGCCCCGGCUAACUACGUG
rnacentral:rRNA from 1 species